rnacentral:rRNA from 1 species
UACGGGGGGUGCGAGCGUUGUCCGGAAUCACUGGGCGUAAAGGGCGCGUAGGUGGUUUGAUAAGGGUGUGGUGAAAGUCCGGGGCUCAACCCCGGAUCUGCCGUGCCGACUGUCAAACUCGAGGACUGUAGAGGCAGACGGAAUUCCGGGUGUAGCGGUGGAAUGCGUAGAGAUCCGGAAGAACACCGGUGGCGAAGGCGGCCUGCUGGGACAGUGCUGACGCUGAGGCGCGACAGCGUGGGGAGCAAACAGG